CUCUCGAUUUGUUUCAGGUGCCUUAGUAAGCAAAAAAAAGUAAAGAACGAAAACCUAAAACUUACAAAAAGAAAAAAAAAAAGAGAGAGAGAGAUGAAGAAGACCUGAAGCCUGAAACCAUUCCUGGUAUGUUACCUGAUCAUUUGCAACAAGAUGUCAAAUAGACUACAGAGGCUUUACUGACUAGAGGUGAGGUUAGGUUCCUGUUGCUUAAGGAAAAGGCAAACGGAAAGAACUUCAGGGGCACGCUUAACACUUUGGUGGAAGCUGGAUUUUAGAAAAAUCAAUAUAGUAAACUAUCGACAAAGUUGAAAGAGUGUGUGGAUUGGGCACAACUAGUGAAAAGCUUACCCGGCAGGCAGGGAAACCCUCGAGGGUGGAGAGUAGAGAGGAAAAUUUUAAAUAUCCACCAGAGCCUAGUGAUCUAUUAACAUGCGUCCUCCUCCCCAGGUCCUGCUCUUGCCCCCAGAGCAACUAGCCGCAGGAAAGCAAGCACUUAAACCUCUCCCUCGGACUUGAGAAGGCUUGAGUUAACUAGCGCUGUAAAUAAUGUUUCUUCCUAAACUGAAGGCACAUCUGACUCCCUAGCCAAGGCCCAGGAGAAAGCAAGAAGCCGAGUUCAGUUUCUUCCGAAGUGAGCCACUCUGCCCCUCUACUCCAUCCUCUUGAAUAAGGAAACAGCCGCCAAGCAUCAGCCGAGCCCCGAUGAGCCGGGGCCGCGGAACCGCUUAGCAGUCUCCCGGGACCCAGCUCUGGAGGAGCCGCAAGCAUGCACCCUGGGUGAGCUGUUGCUAUCCCGAGCUCCCCUCCUCUUUCUUACUUUGGGCUACUUUGCCGGACCUGCACUAUACUUGUACUUCUGUCAGUGCAGAAAAAGUGGCGGUAAUCAGCCAAAAGGGGUCGGGGGGUCUGUGGACAGACACAGGAUCCCGGAGAAAACCCAUGUUACUCACCCUCCCUCCCGUUUCAGGUUGUGGCUGCUUCUGGUUACUUUGUGCCUGACCGAGGAACUGGCAGGAGCGUUUUUGAAACCUGUUCAAAAUUACAGAAAGCUUCAAGUAUGCUACAAAUUGUUUUUGCUUCAACCAUUUGAGGACCAAGUUGCGCAUCUGAUACCACAUCACUCCCAAAUACUUUAGUGUAUAUUUCCUACAAACAGCGAUGUUCUGUUAUGUACUCAUUUUUUCCUCUUUAAAAAAAUUAUUAUGAAAUAUUUUAGGCAACAGAAAUGUGAUGCUGGGUUGGCCAAAAGGUCCAUUCAGGUUUGGGGAAAGUCUGAAUGGACUUUUUGGCCAAUCCAAUAUAUAUAUAUAUAUAUUCAAAUAAUAUAAUAAACAUAUAUAAUAAUGUAAGGCUUCCCUGGUGGCUCAGACGGUAAAGUGUCUGCCUGCAAUGUGGGAGACCUGGGUUCGAUCCCUGGGUCGGGAAGAUUCUCUGGAGAAGGAAAUGGCAAUCCACUUCAGUACUCUUGCCUGGAAAAUCCCAUGGAUGGAGGAGCCUGGUAGGCUACCGUCUAUGGGGUCGCAAAGAGUCGGACACGACUGAGCGACUAAAUCAAAUCAAUCAAUAAUAUAAUAAACAUAAUGAAUAUAUGACCAUCACCCAGCUUAAGAAAUAAAAUACUACCAAUGCAGUUGAAACCACCUGUAUAUCACUUCCAGUCCCAUCCCCACCAUCUUGAAUUUAAUAUAUAUCAUUCAUUCCUAAGAUGGAGUUUCUAAAUGGGUUUCAGGUGGGUCUAUAAGUACCCUGAAAUUGUGUGUAAAAUUAGGUAUGCAUAUCUAUUUUUCUGGGGAAAAGAUCCAUAGCUUUGAUGAGAUUUACAUGCAUAAAAGUAAGUUGUAUGUGAAGUACCAGAGUUUAUGAAAAAAUAGUCUACAGUUAAUGCAUAUCUUUUUCUGCCACCCAUUUUAUUGUUCAGCUCUUGGUCUUUGGCUUUUUCCCCAACAAAUUCACUAAGACUGAUUUCUUAAAGGUCACUUCCUAAUCACCAAAUUCAAUUGCUUCUUCUCAGUCCCUAUCCUCAUUGAACUACCAGUAGCGUCUUACUCAGUAGCACUUCUCCUUCUAGACUCUCUACCUCACCUUGGCUUGUGCACUCUCUUGACGUUCUUCAGUCUCCUCAUUCAAAAAGUAUGAUACUUACCUCAUAUGAUGAUGAGGGUUAGCUGUAAUGUUCAUAAAGUACCUGAUUGUUAUAUGUGCUCAGUAAAUUGUAGCUGUUGGCAGAAGAUGGCAGAAAAUGUUUGAUCCCUUGGUUGGGAAGACCCCCUGGAGAAGGAAAUGGCAACCCACUCCAGAGUUCUUCCCUGGGAAAUCCCAUGGACAGAGGAGCCUGGCAGUCUACAGUCCAUGGGUCGCAAAAGAGUCAGACAUGACUUAGCACCUAAGACAACAACAAUUCUCAUACCACUGUGGUGCAUCCCCAGCCUCUGUUUAAGGUGUUGUGAAUGGACAGAGACAAUUACUGCCUCAGCUUUCUGUAGUGCUGUUCAUUAGCCUAGGAGUAGCCUUAUACCUAUGAGUAGUUCUGGUUAGGGCAGGAUCAGUGAUCCUAAGAGUCUUCAAGAAAAAAUAAUUUAGGUGAAGUCUAGUACUUUGGCCACCUCAUGCGAAGAGUUGACUCAUUGGAAAAGACUCUGAUGCUGGGAGGGAUUGGGAACAGGAGGAGAAGGGGACGACAGAGGAUGAGAUGGCUGGAUGGCAUCACUGACUCGAUGGACGUGAGUCUGAGUGAACUCCGGGAGUUGGUGAUGGACAGGGAGGCCUGGCGUGCUGCGAUUCAUGGGGUCGCAAAGAGUCGGACAUGACUGAGCAACUGAACUGAACUGAACUGAGGUAGCCUUAAGUUACAUAGGGAUAUAGUUUUAAAAUUCAUCCCCUAAAGUUUGUAACACUGUUCUCAGCCUGGUCUCCUUUAAGAACCUCAGAUGGUAAAAGGAUAGUUCUCCUUUCCUUGUUUGUUCAGCUUUUUACCACUCUGCUACUAAAUAGACUAAAAAUUGUAGGCGCCAACUGUAUUACGAAGGGCACCUGCUGGCUUCAAACUGGCCUAGGGCCAGUUAUCCUGGACAGGCCAUUGAAGAACCUUAUGACUUUCAGUCACUAUUUACUUGGAACAGAAUGAGAGGAAGGAUUUAUAUCAAGUUACCAGUCCCCUGAGUCUGCUCUGUCCUGAACUGUCCUCUUUAUUUUUCACAUUCUCUGUUAGCUGCCAGUAACAGUGACAUACUUUUGUUUAUAUGCAUAACAGAACCUUAUAAUAUCUGAGGGCACAAAUCUCUGAGUAGGGCCAAAGCCCUUACUGAGGCCCAUCAGUCAAGUUAUUUUUGCCUUCUGUUUGGUAAAGUGCUUGACCUCAUAACUGCCAUCUCUUCAGUCAGCAUAGGAUAAGUUAUGUUGCUAUAGCAAACAACUCCCAACAUCUCAGUGGCUUAAAAUAACAAAAGUUUAUUUUUUGUUCAUACUGUAAGUCCAUCAUGGGUCAUCUGUGGGACAUUGUGUGGUACUCAAUCUAGGACCCAGAGGGAACAGCUGCCAUCUGGGACACUACUGAUCAUUGUGGCAGAGGGAAAGAAAGCAAGCUCUGGGGGUCUCACACUGGGCUACCAAUUAAAUCUUAUUUUUGAAUAUGGCACAUAUCAUUUUUUUCAUAUACCAUUGAUCAUCCUUGAUCAGAGACCAGUUGGAAGCCGAGAAGGGCAUUCCUACCAUGUGCCCUGAAGGUGGAGAGCUGGAGAUAUUCAGUCACACUGUUAUUUAAUAUUCCCUGUAGAAGGACAUCACUGGUGUCUCUAGCUCUGUCCCUUCCCUUGGGACAUCUUGCUAAGUCACUUCCCUUCAGUUUCACUCAUACUGGUUUAUUUGAUUCUGCAAAAACCAAGCUCCUUAAUCAGUUUGGUAAUUAUUAUGCAUAGCAUAGAAAGCUGUAUUGUUUAAUGCAAGGAUUUUUUCCCCCUUGAUUUGAAUUCCUCCAGCUUCUUUGGUAUUUCUGCAGUUGCACACUGCUAUGAUAUACAGAGGUAUUAACUGGGAAUAGCUUUGUUUCAGUAAAAUGCUAUCUUUUGGACUCAUCCUCACUGCCUGCUGUUUACAGUUGUAAGUAACAGAAUCGCUUAAUUCUGUAAUCCUCUAACCAUAAAGAUGGGAUUAAAUGACUGAGUGCAAACUAGAACUCAGGUUUUCUGACUCAGAGUCUGUUUUCUUUUUAUUACACCAGGCCCUAUUAUAAAGAAAGUUGUCUAACAGGCAGCUCUGUAAUUUACUACCAGAGAUGACUGGUAACUUCAGAUUCUAGUCUUUAAUCUUGAACAGAAGGAAUUUUCCAUUUCAGUGUCUCCUUUUGAGUCUUUUGAUGAAUUCCAUGUCAUAAAAUCAGAUUCCUGGGAUUCUGAUGCCAAUAAGUUUGUGUUCUUUCUUGAAGCAAAUAAACAACUGGCCCUGAAUGAAUCAAACACAUGAUCCUGACUAUCUGUAAGUCCCAAACAAAUGACUUACACCUUAUCUCAAUCUAGAAUAACGCAUUACAUGUAUUGUGUUGUUGCAGACUUGUUUCUCACUAGUAUUUAGAAUGCAAGACGAUGCUCAAGUCUUCAAAUUACAAACGGUAUCCAUAUCUCCUGGUGAAAGCAUUACUGCACAAACUGUGCCAACCUAUUUAAACUUGGA
ensembl:lincRNA